AGAACGAACGCUGGCGGCAGGCUUAACACAUGCAAGUCGAACGCUCGUAGCAAUACGGGAGUGGCAGACGGGUGAGUAACGCGUGGGAACAUACCCUCCGGUUCGGAAUAGCUCAGGGAAACUUGGAUUAAUACCGGAUACGGCUGAGAGGCGAAAGAUUUAUCGCCGGAGGAUUGGCCCGCGUUCGAUUAGCUUGUUGGUGAGGUAACGGCUCACCAAGGCGAUGAUCGAUAGCUGGUCUGAGAGGAUGAUCAGCCACAUUGGGACUGAGACACGGCCCAAACUCCUACGGGAGGCAGCAGUGGGGAAUAUUGGACAAUGGGCGCAAGCCUGAUCCAGCCAUGCCGCGUGAGUGAUGACGGCCUUAGGGUUGUAAGGCUCUUUCGCUCGGGACGAUAAUGACGGUACCGAGAUAAGAACGCCCGGCUAACUUCGUGCCAGCAGCCGC
rnacentral:rRNA from 1 species